rnacentral:rRNA from 1 species
CUAGCUUGCUAAUAAUUCUCUAGUGGCGCACGGGUGAGUAACACGUGAGUACCUGCCCCCAAGAGUGGGAUAGCCCCGGGAAACUGGGAUUAAUACCGCAUAAAGCAAUAAAGCAGCAAUGCGCUUGGGGAUGGGCUCGCGUCCUAUUAGUUAGUUGGUGAGGUAACGGCUCACCAAGGCGAUGACGGGUAGCCGGUCUGAGAGGAUGUCCGGCCACACUGGAACUGAGACACGGUCCAGACACCUACGGGUGGCAGCAGUCGAGAAUCAUUCACAAUGGGGGAAACCCUGAUGGUGCGACGCCGCGUGGGGGAUAAGGUCUUCGGAUUGUAAACCCCUGUCAUGUGGGACAUUAAAAGAUAGUACCACAAGAGGAAGAGACGGCUAACUCUGUGCCAGCAGCCGCGGUAAUACAGAGGUCUCAAGCGUUGUUCGGAAUCACUGGGCGUAAAGCGUGCGUAGGCGGUUUCGUAAGUCGUGUGUGAAAGGCGGGGGCUCAACCCCCGGACUGCACAUGAUACUGCGAGACUAGAGUAAUGGAGGGGGAACCGGAAUUCUCGGUGUAGCAGUGAAAUGCGUAGAUAUCGAGAGGAACACUCGUGGCGAAGGCGGGUUCCUGGACAUUAACUGACGCUGAGGCACGAAGGCCAGGGGAGCGAAAG